rnacentral:rRNA from 1 species
UACGUAGGGAGCGAGCGUUAUCCGGAUUUAUUGGGCGUAAAGCGUGCGUAGGCGGUUUAUUAAGUUUAAGAUAAAAGCCCGGGGCUCAACUCCGGUUCGUCUUAAAAACUGGUAGACUUGAGUGUGGUAGAGGUAAAUGGAAUUUCUAGUGUAGCGGUGAAAUGCGUAGAUAUUAGAAGGAACACCAGUGGCGAAGGCGAUUUACUGGGCCAUAACUGACGCUGAGGCACGAAAGCGUGGGGAGC